AGUUUACGCCCACUCUCAGGUGCUGGCGGUAGAUAAAGCCGCUAGUGAAACGGGAAGUUGGUGAACGCCUCGCGUGAUUCCAACGCUGCCCCCGCAACGGUGAUCGAGAUAAGAACGGCCAAUACGCCACUGUGCUCACGCACGGGAAGGUGGUCGUUCGGAAAAGAGUGGCUCUGUUUGCUAGAGACAUCUUUCGCUCGUCAGCCCGGAGACCGGCCCGAGAGUAAUGGUUCUA
rnacentral:ncRNA from 2 species